UCCGAUAACAAGAUCUACAUUUCGGAAAGUUUGAGUCCAGGAAACAGGGAGCUGUUCUGGCGGCGUUAAGCGCCAGGCAUGAUCUGAAGUUCAAGUACAUUUGGACGCAGAAUGGAAAAGUGAGGAAAAAUAACGACAGCCAAGCUGUGCUGAUCAGUAAAUCACAGGAUUUACUCCACCUCAAGCAACGAGAAGACCACGAUUCACAAGAGGUAGAGUCAGCAAAUUUAACAGGCACGUAAGUCAAACAGAAAUGAUUUUCCUGAAGCAUGUCAGGAAGGAUGACCUUGGGAUGCAAAAAUUCAAAGCUAUAUAAAUCCGCUAUCCCCCAAGCAGACCCCCCUAAACAAACCUUUUGCCCACGAAAUCCUUCCUGACUCACCCAUCACAACGAAAGUAAAAGGAAAGUGAGAUUUUGGUGAUAUGAAUUAUUGCAAAAAAAAUUUAAAUAAUUUCCUUUACCAACAAGUAUCGCUAACAGAUGAUUUCACCCAUGUUGUUGUAUCGCCCACGUCUAUAAGAAUCGCUUCGCCCACGCAGUGCCACGAUCUUUAAAUAAAAUUAAGCUCAUAUUUAGGGGGGUCUGUUUGAUGCGUUUCUUCCUUUACCGAGAGGCCAGGCCCUGCCUGCUCCAAAUCAGGCUAGUUUAC